rnacentral:lncRNA from 1 species
AGUCUUCUGCUAGCACGGCCUUCAGAUGAAGAUGUAGAACUCUCAGCUCCUCCUGCACCAUGUCUGCCUGCACGCUGCCAUGCUCCUGCCUGGAUGAUAAUGGACUGAACCUCUGAACCUGACCGUGACUGCUGCCCUACUCGGAAGACAAGGCUCUGAGCAGGCUGGUGCUAUAGCAGCCUGGGCCAGCUUCUCUCCCAAUGUUGCUUCCGUGCCCGAUCUUCCUCCCUCUUCACAGAACAACAGGGAAUCGGGGGAUGUUUCUUCCAUUCAUUGCCACCUGCAAAACUCCAAAGACGCCCAUCCUUACCCUGCAUGAAAAGGUGGGAGCCUGCGUUCCUGCUCCACCUUUUUUGGUCAAGCCAAGCCUCCAGCCUCAGGUAUCCUUGACUCCCAAGAUCCUUUGGGGUCUAAUUCCAAGGCUCCUCACUUGACUCAGUUUCCUGCUGCCUACCAAGAGGCCCACAUGGAAAAGGCUGAGGUUUGGAAAGAGUCAGAUAGCACAGGCUAGCCUCCAGUUCUCUAUGUAGUUGAGGAUCUUCCUAAUUUUCUCCCAAUAGAUUACAGGCGUGUGCCUGUAGCCUGAGCUCAUGAGAUGCUGAGGAUAAAACCCAGAGCCUCCAGCA